rnacentral:rRNA from 1 species
ACGAACGCUGGCGGCAGGCUUAACACAUGCAAGUCGAACGCCCCGCACGGGGAGUGGCAGACGGGUGAGUAACGCGUGGGAACAUACCCUUUUCUACGGAAUAGCUCUGGGAAACUGGAAUUAAUACCGUAUACGCCCUACGGGGGAAAGAUUUAUCGGGGAAGGAUUGGCCCGCGUUGGAUUAGCUAGUUGGUGGGGUAAAGGCCUACCAAGGCGACGAUCCAUAGCUGGUCUGAGAGGAUGAUCAGCCACAUUGGGACUGAGACACGGCCCAAACUCCUACGGGAGGCAGCAGUGGGGAAUAUUGGACAAUGGGCGCAAGCCUGAUCCAGCCAUGCCGCGUGAGUGAUGAAGGCCUUAGGGUUGUAAAGCUCUUUCACCGAUGAAGAUAAUGACGGUAGUCGGAGAAGAAGCCCCGGCUAACUUCGUG